GCAGCUUUGAAAAGGGCUUAGCAAGCUCUCUCACUGGAGAUGCUAGUCCUUCCUGAACAUCCCAUGUACCCUAAUUAUCCAAGAAGAUAAAUGACAAACAAAAGAAUUUCAAUUUUUAUUUAAAGGCAAUGGGAAUCAUUGGAGUUUCUGUAGCAGAAGAAUUAGAAAGUAAAACCUGUGAUUUAGAAAUAUCAGCAUGGCAACUAUGUAAAUGAUGGAAUGAGGGGAUGAAAGACUGCAGACAUGGAAAGCAAUUAAGAUCUAGGCACCAUACCAUAGUGGACAGAGAGACAGCUUCACAGUUAAGAAGACCUCGAUUGAUGAUUGCUGGUCCGCUGAAUCACCGCCUGCCACACACACUCUUGCUUGAUGGAAGAGUGAACCUGGAAGUUAACAUGCAAGAAUGCUUUCAGGGCAUGUGCUGGUAUUUUGGCCAUAUCUCCUCUACAAUGAGUGACAAUUAAUAUAAUCCAGACCUUGUUAUUUUCCUUAUAUUGGAGCCCAUCUCUACUUGCAGCAUUUGAUGCUGAGGAUGAGAAGAUUUUGUGGUACAGAAAGAAUGGAAGUGAAGAACAUAGUAUGGUGAUAUAUACUGAAUUCCUUCUUGAACCUUCAACAUCAGAGAUGUUCAAGUACUGAACAAACUUUGGAUUUCAAUGAUUAAACCUAGUAGACCAUAACCUAUUAUAAUAUACAAC
rnacentral:lncRNA from 1 species